GAUGAACGCUGGCGGCGUGCCUAAUACAUGCAAGUCGAGCGAACAGACGAGGAGCUUGCUCCUUCGACGUUAGCGGCGGACGGGUGAGUAACACGUAGGUAACCUACCUAUAAGACUGGGAUAACUUCGGGAAACCGGAGCUAAUACCGGAUAAUAUUUCGAACUGCAUGGUUCGAUAGUGAAAGAUGGCUUUGCUAUCACUUAUAGAUGGACCUGCGCCGUAUUAGCUAGUUGGUAAGGUAACGGCUUACCAAGGCAACGAUACGUAGCCGACCUGAGAGGGUGAUCGGCCACACUGGAACUGAGACACGGUCCAGACUCCUACGGGAGGCAGCAGUAGGGAAUCUUCCGCAAUGGGCGAAAGCCUGACGGAGCAACGCCGCGUGAGUGAUGAAGGUCUUCGGAUCGUAAAACUCUGUUAUUAGGGAAGAACAAACGUGUAAGUAACUGUGCACGUCUUGACGGUACCUAAUCAGAAAGCCACGGCUAACUACGUG
rnacentral:rRNA from 1 species